GCCGCCAUCGUCUAGUGGCCUAGGACGUCACGUUCUCAACGUGAAGAUCGCGGGUUCGACUCCCGCUGGCGGUACUA
rnacentral:tRNA from 1 species